GAUGAACGCUAGCGGCAGGCUUAAUACAUGCAAGUCGAGGGGCAGCACGGUAGCAAUAACUGGUGGCGACCGGCGCACGGGUGCGUAACACGUAUACAACCUACCUAUAACAGGGGGAUAGCCUUUCGAAAGAGAGAUUAAUACCCCGUAAUAAAUUGAGUGGCAUCACUUGAUUUUGAAAGCUCCGGCGGUUAUAGAUGGGUAUGCGUUUGAUUAGCUAGUUGGUGAGGUAACGGCGCACCAAGGCGACGAUCAAUAGGGGAUCUGAGGGGACAAACCCCCCCACUGGUACUGAGACACGGACCAGACUCCUACGGGAGGCAGCAGUAAGGAAUUUUGGUCAAUGGAGGCAACUCUGAACCAGCCAUGGCGCGUGCAGGAUGACGGCCCUAUGGGUUGUAAACUGCUUUUAUACAAGAGAAAACCCCGGUACGUGUACCGGGUUGAUAGUAUUGUAAGAAUAAGCAUCGGCUAACUUCGUGCCAGCCGCCGCCGUAAUAC
rnacentral:rRNA from 1 species